rnacentral:rRNA from 1 species
UGGGGAAUCUUCCGCAAUGGGCGCAAGCCUGACGGAGCAAUGCCGCGUGAGUGAAGAAGGCCUUCGGGUUGUAAAACUCUGUCCUCAUCCAAGAGAAGGAAAGGUAGUAACUGACCUUUCCAGGACGGUAGAUGAGGAGGAAGCACCGGCUAACUAUGUGCCAGCAGCCGCGGUAAUACGUAUGGGGCGAGCGUUUGUCCGGAAUUAUUGGGCGUAAAGGGUACGUAGGCGGUCUAUUAAGUCAGGUGUGAAAGCGUGAGGCUUAACCUCAUUAAGCACUUGAAACUGAUAGACUUGAGUGAAGGAGAGGAAAGUGGAAUUCCUAGUGUAGCGGUGAAAUGCGUAGAUAUUAGGAGGAAUACCGGUGGCGAAGGCGACUUUCUGGACUUUUACUGACGCUCAGGUACGAAAGCGUGGGGAGCAAACAGG